CACAGCUUUCGUUUCGAUUGAUUUCAUUAUUUAAAAUAAGUCACAAUUAUUUCUCUAUUUUAUUAAUUCAGUUAUUAAAUAAAAUAAAUUGUUAUUUUAUUGACACCAUGUAUCACAUUUUCCAUGUUUCAUUGGGACUUCUAUGGUUAGGUUUCAAAAUAAUUUACGGAGAAGUAAUUCAAUGUCCAAUUGGUGGAUUAACUGAUGAGGGACUCUGCAACAACUUAAUUGAAGAAAGUGUCUUGCAUAAAUUCUAUAUAGUUAGUUUAAGUAAACAAAUAGGUAA